CGUGCUUCUCUCCGGUACAAUGGCGGCGGUUGCAGCGCCGUCCUUCGUGUUUUGUCGGGUUUUUGUCCGCGGAGCCGCAGCGGGAGAGUUAAUGAAGCUGUAAGGUGGAAACAGCAGCAGUUGGUGAACUCUGGGAAGAAGAGAAACGGUUUGAGGCUCCGCUGGAACCGCUCAGUAACUGUUAAAGGAAAGUUUGGAGAGAGAAAAGCUAGCAGAUGUGGAGACAGCAGGUCCAACAGCGACUGGACGCAGCGGAGCAGCAGAGACACGAAAUCCUGGAAGCUGCUUUCAGCCCCGAACAUCGGCUGCACACAUCAGGUUUGGAGGUUUUCCUUCUUCAUCAGGGAGGGCAGCUGCAGGCCGGAGCAGCCGCCAGGACUUAGCUGCUGCUUCUCCAGGAGAACAUGAAGCUGUUGGUCCUUGAUGCUCUUUGGAUGCAGAACUAGGACUUUAUCCAAUAUGGCCGCCGCACUUUUACAAUGGAGCAAAAGUUUAUUUUCACUCUGACAGUUUGAGAUCCGACAGAGAUCAUGUUUGUUUAAAGUUUGAAAGGCUGAGAAGAUGGUUAUUGGCUUCCAUUGAUCAACAAGUGAUUAUCUGUGAAGAGCUGAAGCUCCUCAAUGAUCCGCUCUGUGUUCCCACCAAUAAAUUAGUUUCAAUUCACUGUUUAAAUGGCUAAAUGAGUCCAGGUUCAACCAGAUGGAGUCUAGAGCCACAAACUCUGAGAAACAUUCAUAAACAAAUUCAAAAAUAAGCAAUUAUUCAAGCUGAAAAUUAUAACGGCUAAUAAAGUAAUUAUUACAAAAGAUUAAAAAAAAAGGUAGUUAAAAAAUAUGCAUUUGCUUCAGUGUGUAAUGUAAUUACUGCCAACAUUUUACAGAGAAAUAAAAAAAUAGAGUAUUAAUCUGCAUAUCCACAAUAAAUCCAGUACCAAUGAACCCAAACAUGACAAAUGCAAAGAAAUGACUCAAUUUCCACGACUUGACUGAAGAAAAGCUGAAGCCAUGAAGCUCCUCUUCCUGCUGCCUGGACAUCCGAGACAAACUUUCCUUCACACAGUCCAGCCUUCGUCCAUCUGACCUGAACAACAACCUGCUGGCUCAUCAGCUGAUUUACAGGCCGACCUCUGACCUCCCGUUCCUAGCAACUUCACUGGAAAAUCUGUUUGAGCGGCUAAGCAGCCGCUGUCAGUCCGAUUUCCAUGGUUACCAAAGCACUGACACGGCCUAGUCAAAGGCUUCAAGGACAUCCAUAUAAAAACAGAUGGAGAUGGUUCUGGUUCUGAAAAUAAAUGAAAAACUGUUUUACUUUUGGUUAAGAGCAGUUGAAGAACUGAACAGGCUGAGAAAUUGAACUUGUAAAAGUCCUUCCUGAAGCGAAGUUUCAGAAAGGACCGAGUUUCAGAAAGGACUGAGUUUCAGAAAGGACCGAGCUUCAGAAAGGACCGAGCUUCAGAAAGGACCGAGUUUCAGAAAGGACCGAGUUUCAGAAAGGACCGAGCUUCAGAAAGGACCGAGCUUCAGAAAGGACCGAGUUUCAGAAAGGACCGAGCUUCAGAAAGGGCCGAGUUUCAGAAAGGACAGAGUUUCAGAAAGGACCGAGCUGAGCGCCGUGGCAACAGAAGCCACACAUGGAAAUACUGACGAGGGAUAAAUAAUGUUGGUCAAAGUCUUGAAUCUUGGUGUUGGUUAAUAUUUGGUUUAUCGCCCAAACAUAAAAUCAUGUUUAGUUUUUAGAAUCUCAGAAAAAUACAGAAGUGGACAAUUGAAUGACUGACCCUUCUCUGAUUUGUGUCUUUCGUAGUUUUAGAAACCGCGGCCUCCUUAAAGAACAACAUGCAGAAAUCAUCUUCAGGUUUGCUGACUGUUAACUUUAAAGCAAAUUAGGACAUUUGAUAAAAAGAUGUUCUGCUGGUUAAAGAAGAACCGAGUCCUGAUCUGGACCAGAACCACCCAGAACCCGUCCACAUAAAGGAGGAAGAGGAGGAACCCUGGAGCAGCCAGCAGGGGGAGCCGCCCAGCGUGAAGGAGGAGGCUGAGGCCUCCAGGUCUCCAGUCAUCACUGUUCUCAUAAAGAGCGAAGAUGAUGAAGAGGAGCCUCUCAGCCCUCAUCUUCAUCAAUCAGAAGAUGGAGAACUGCCAAGCAGCAGCAGCAGCUCAGCUCAGAAGAACCUGAAAACAGAAGCUGAGGGCUGUGGAGGAGCAGAAUGCACCGUAAAUCCAGAUGGAAACGCUCAUGGAGACGCUUCCAGCUCUUCAGAGACAGACAUCAGUGAUGAUGACAAUGAGGUGAACCAAGAUGAAGGCAAUAAGAAUGAUUGCAAAGCCUUCAGAAAGAACACAAACAUGGACCAGGAGAGGGAAGUCCAGACAAAUCUGAAAUGUUAUAAAUGUACUGACUGUGGUCAAAGUUUUACCAAGAAAAACCACCUCAAAGUUCAUAUGAAAGUUCACACUUUGGAAAAACCGUUUGGCUGUGAGGUUUGUGGACAAAGUUUUGAUGAAAAGCCUUAUUUAGACCAACACAUCAUCAUCCACUCAGUAGAAAAAACUUUUGUUUGUAACGUCUGCAGACAAACGUUCAGCCAAAGAACACUUUUAAGCAGACAUGUGAAAAUCCACAGCGGGGAGAAACCUUUUGGCUGUGAUGUUUGUGGACAAAGUUUUAAUAGGAAAUCCCAUUUAAACAGACACCUGAAGAUUCACACAGGGGAGAAACCUUUUGGAUGUGACAUUUGUGGACAAAGAUUUCAUGAAAAGGCCUAUUUAGACAGACACAUCAAAAUCCACUCAGGAGAAAAACCAUUUGCUUGUGAUGUCUGCGGACAAAGAUUUAGUAGAAAGGCACAUUUAGACCGACACAUGGGGAGUCACGCUGAUGAGAAACCUUUUGGUUGUGACGUUUGUAGACAAAGAUUUACCCACAAAUCUGCUUUAAACAGACACAUGAUUAUUCACACAGGAGACAAACCUUUCAGCUGUGAAGUUUGUGGACAAAGAUUUAACCAAAAGUCAGUUUUGAUGACACAUGUGAGGAUCCACACAGGAGACAAACCCUACGCCUGUGAUUUUUGUGGACUAAGAUUUAACCAAAAGUCAAAUUUAAACAGCCACAUCAAAAUCCAUGCAGGAUACAGACCAUUCGGUUGUGAUGUUUGUGGGCAAAAAUUUAACCGAAAAGGAAAUCUAAACAUGCACAUGAGGACCCACUCAGCAGGGAAGAAUCUUUAGAUACUCUGAUGGUUGAGGAAGAAACGCUGACAUGUUCUGACUUAGAUCACUGAAAAUUAAAUGAGCCUUUACUCCAGAACCCUUUUAGCUUCUUUUUUCAGAAAAAUGUAUUUGGUUUCAGAAGCAUUUAAUCACGAGCAGAACAGACAAUAAUCAGUUGAUUUUAUCAACUGAUCAGAUUGUUGAGCAAAGUGCUGAUGUAUCAGCCGUCAUUGACUCAGCAAAAGACUCAGCUGAAUUUUAAACAGGCUUCUCUUUGGUCAGCACAGCCUAUUGUAACCAGUGGCGCCCCCUACUGUC